rnacentral:rRNA from 1 species
AGACCCGAAACCCGGUGAUCUAGCCAUGGGCAGGUUGAAGGUUGGGUAACACUAACUGGAGGACCGAACCGACUAAUGUUGAAAAAUUAGCGGAUGACCUGUGGCUGGGGGUGAAAGGCCAAUCAAACCGGGAGAUAGCUGGUUCUCCCCGAAAGCUAUUUAGGUAGCGCCUCGUGAAUUCAUCUCCGGGGGUAGAGCACUGUUUCGGCCAGGGGGCCAUCCCGGCUUACCAACCCGAUGCAAACUGCGAAUACCGGAGAAUGUUAUCACGGGAGACACACGGCGGGUGCUAACGUCCGUCGUGAAGAGGGAAACAACCCAGACCGCCAGCUAAGGUCCCAAAGUCAUGGUUAAGUGGGAAACGAUGUGGGAAGGCCCAGACAGCCAGGAUGUUGGCUUAGAAGCAGCCAUCAUUUAAAGAAAGCGUAAUAGCUCACUGGUCGAGUCGGCCUGCGCGGAAGAUGUAACGGGGCUAAACCAUGCACCGAAGCUGCGGCAGCGACACUAAGUGUUGUUGGGUAGGGGAGCGUUCUGUAAGCCUGCGAAGGUGGCCUGUGAGGGUCGCUGGAGGUAUCAGAAGUGCGAAUGCUGACAUAAGUAACGAUAAAGCGGGUGAAAAGCCCGCUCGCCGGAAGACCAAGGGUUCCUGUCCAACGUUAAUCGGGGCAGGGUGAGUCGACCCCUAAGGCGAGGCCGAAAGGCGUAGUCGAUGGGAAACGGGUUAAUAUUCCCGUACCUGGUGUUACUGCGAAGGGGGGACGGAGAAGGCUAUGUUGGCCGGGCGACGGUUGUCCCGGUUUAAGCGUGUAGGCUGGUUUUCCAGGCAAAUCCGGAAAAUCAAGGCUGAGGCGUGACGACGAGGCACUACGGUGCUGAAGCAACAAAUGCCCUGCUUCCAGGAAAAGCCUCUAAGCAUCAGGUAACAUCAGAUCGUACCCCAAACCGACACAGGUGGUCAGGUAGAGAAUACCAAGGCGCUUGAGAGAACCCGGGUGAAGGAACUAGGCAAAAUGGUGCCGUAACUUCGGGAGAAGGCACGCUGACACGUAGGUGAAGUGAUUUACUCAUGGAGCUGAAGUCAGUCGAAGAUACCAGCUGGCUGCAACUGUUUAUUAAAAACACAGCACUGUGCAAACACGAAAGUGGACGUAUACGGUGUGACGCCUGCCCGGUGCCGGAAGGUUAAUUGAUGGGGUCAGCGCAAGCGAAGCUCCUGAUCGAAGCCCCGGUAAACGGCGGCCGUAACUAUAACGGUCCUAAGGUAGCGAAAUUCCUUGUCGGGUAAGUUCCGACCUGCACGAAUGGCGUAAUGAUGGCCAGGCUGUCUCCACCCGGGACUCAGUGAAAUUGAACUCGCUGUGAAGAUGCAGUGUACCCGCGGCAAGACGGAAAGACCCCGUGAACCUUUACUAUAGCUUGACACUGAACAUUGAGCCUUGAUGUGCAGGAUAGGUGGGAGGCUUUGAAGUGUGGACGCCAGUCUGCAUGGAGCCAACCUUGAAAUACCACCCUUUAAUGUUUGAUGUUCUAACGUGGACCCGUUACCCGGGUUGCGGACAGUGUCUGGUGGGUAGUUUGACUGGGGCGGUCUCCUCCUAAAG